rnacentral:rRNA from 1 species
GUCCAUUGCGGCAGCUACCAUGCAAGUCGUACGAGAAGGUUCUUUCGGGAACUGGAGAGUGGCGCACGGGUGAGUAACGCGUGGGGACCUACCUCUUAGUGGGGGAUAACGGUUGGAAACGACCGCUAAUACCGCAUACGCCCUUCGGGGGAAAGAUUUAUCGCUAAGAGAUGGACCCGCGUUGGAUUAGAUAGUUGGUGAGGUAACGGCUCACCAAGUCAGCGAUCCAUAGCUGGUUUGAGAGGAUGAUCAGCCACACUGGGACUGAGACACGGCCCAGACUCCUACGGGAGGCAGCAGUGGGGAAUAUUGGACAAUGGGCGCAAGCCUGAUCCAGCCAUGCCGCGUGAGUGAAGAAGGCCUUCGGGUUGUAAAGCUCUUUCAGAUGCGAAGAUGAUGACGGUAACAUCAGAAGAAGCCCCGGCUAAUUUCGUGCCAGCAGCCGCGGUAAUACGAAAGGGGCAAGCGUUGUUCGGAUUUACUGGGCGUAAAGGGCACGCAGGCGGUCCUGCCAGUCAGGGGUGAAAG